GACGGAGGAUGCAAGCGUUAUCCGGAAUUAUUGGGCGUAAAGCGUCCGCAGGUGGCUAGUCAAGUCUGCUGUCAAAGCGCGGAGCUUAACUUCGUAAAGGCAGUGGAAACUGAUUAGCUAGAGCAUGGUAGGGGUAGAGGGAAUUCCCGGUGUAGCGGUGAAAUGCGUAGAUCUUGGAAAGACCACCAAUGGCGAAGGCACUCUACUGGGCCAUGACUGACACUAAGAGACGAAAGCUAGGGGAGCAAAUGGG
rnacentral:rRNA from 1 species